ensembl:lncRNA
CUCUGUAAAGCACUUUGUGACAACUGCUGUUGUAAAAAGGGCUUUAUAAAUACAUUUGAUUGAUUGAUUGAAAGACAGGGAGGAGAGGAGAGAUGGAAAGCGAGAGGGAGGAGAGGAGAGAUGGAGGAGAAAUGAAGGAGAAAAGAUGGAGGGGAGAGUGGAAAGAGAAAUAGAGGAAGGAGAGAUGGAUAGAAGGAAGACAGAUGAGCUGGAGAGUUAGAAAAGAUGAGAGAUAUGAGAGAGGUUAAGGUAGAGGAGAGAUAUAAGAGACGUUAAGGUAGAGGAGAGAUAUAAGAGACGUUAAGGUAGAGGAGAGAUAUAAGAGACGUUAAGAUAGAGGAGAGAUAUAAGAGACGUUAAGGUAGAGGAGAGAUAUAAGAGACGUUAAGGUAGAGGAGAGAUAUAAGAGGUUAAGGUAGAGGAGAGAUAUAAGAGACGUUAAGGUAGAGGAGAGAUAUAAGAUGUUAAGGUAGAGGCGAGAUAUAAGAGACGUUAAGGUAGAGGAGAGAUAUAAGAGACGUUAAGGUAGAGGAGAGAUAUAAGAGACGUUAAGGUAAAGGAGUGAAGAGAGAUAUAAGAGAGGUUAAGGUAGAGGAGAGAUAUAAGAGAGGUUAAGGUAGAGGAGAGAUAUAAGAGACGUUAAGGUAGAG